CUGCUUCAGCAGCACACAUACUAAAAUUGGAACAAUACAGAGAAGAUUAGCGUGGCUGCUCCACAAGGAGGACAUGCAAAUUCACAAAGGGUUCCGUGUUUUU
ensembl:snRNA U6 U6 spliceosomal RNA